UGAGGAAUAUUGCGCAAUGGGGGCAACCCUUCCUCAUCAACGCCGCGUGGGUGAAGAAGGCUUUCGGGUUGUAAAGCCCUGUCAGGUGGGAAGAAACCUCUGCGGGUAAAUAGUCUGCAGAAUUGGCGGUACCACCAAAGGAAGCACCGGCUAACUCCGUGCCAGCAGCCGCGGUAAGACGGAGGGUGCAAGCGUUGUUCGGAAUCACUGGGCGUAAAGCGCGUGUAGGCGGUCCGAUAAGUCAAGAGUGAAAGCCCGAGGCUCAACCUCGGAAGUGCACUCGAAACUGCCGGGCUUGAGUACGGGAGAGGGAAGUGGAAUUCCUGGUGUAGAGGUGAAAUUCGUAGAUAUCAGGAGGAACACCGGUGGCGAAGGCGGCUUCCUGGACCGAUACUGACGCUGAGACACGAAAAAGGGAGGAGAAAACAGG
rnacentral:rRNA from 1 species